AGCUCAGUUGGUAGAGGAUGGUGUUUGCAACGCCAGGGUUGUGGGUUCGAUUCCCAC
rnacentral:tRNA from 1 species